rnacentral:rRNA from 1 species
AAAUUGAAGAGUUUGAUCAUGGCUCAGAUUGAACGCUGGCGGCAGGCCUAACACAUGCAAGUCGAGCGGAAACGAGUUAACUGAACCUUCGGGGGACGUUAACGGCGUCGAGCGGCGGACGGGUGAGUAAUGCCUAGGAAAUUGCCCUGAUGUGGGGGAUAACCAUUGGAAACGAUGGCUAAUACCGCAUAAUGCCUUCGGGCCAAAGAGGGGGACCUUCGGGCCUCUCGCGUCAGGAUAUGCCUAGGUGGGAUUAGCUAGUUGGUGAGGUAAGGGCUCACCAAGGCGACGAUCCCUAGCUGGUCUGAGAGGAUGAUCAGCCACACUGGAACUGAGACACGGUCCAGACUCCUACGGGAGGCAGCAGUGGGGAAUAUUGCACAAUGGGCGCAAGCCUGAUGCAGCCAUGCCGCGUGUAUGAAGAAGGCCUUCGGGUUGUAAAGUACUUUCAGCAGUGAGGAAGGUGGUGUAGUUAAUAACUGCAUCACUUGACGUUAGCUGCAGAAGAAGCACCGGCUAACUCCGUGCCAGCAGCCGCGGUAAUACGGAGGGUGCGAGCGUUAAUCGGAAUUACUGGGCGGGUAAAGCGCAUGCAGGUGGUUUGUUAAGUCAGAUGUGAAAGCCCGGGGCUCAACCUCGGAAUUGCAUUUGAAACUGGCAGACUAGAGUACUGUAGAGGGGGGUAGAAUUUCAGGUGUAGCGGUGAAAUGCGUAGAGAUCUGAAGGAAUACCGGUGGCGAAGGCGGCCCCCUGGACAGAUACUGACACUCAGAUGCGAAAGCGUGGGGAGCAAACAGGAUUAGAUACCCUGGUAGUCCACGCCGUAAACGAUGUCUACUUGGAGGUUGUGGCCUUGAGCCGUGGCUUUCGGAGCUAACGCGUUAAGUAGACCGCCUGGGGAGUACGGUCGCAAGAUUAAAACUCAAAUGAAUUGACGGGGGCCCGCACAAGCGGUGGAGCAUGUGGUUUAAUUCGAUGCAACGCGAAGAACCUUACCUACUCUUGACAUCCAGAGAAGCCAGUAGAGAUACAGGUGUGCCUUCGGGAACUCUGAGACAGGUGCUGCAUGGCUGUCGUCAGCUCGUGUUGUGAAAUGUUGGGUUAAGUCCCGCAACGAGCGCAACCCUUAUCCUUGUUUGCCAGCGAGUAAUGUCGGGAACUCCAGGGAGACUGCCGGUGAUAAACCGGAGGAAGGUGGGGACGACGUCAAGUCAUCAUGGCCCUUACGAGUAGGGCUACACACGUGCUACAAUGGCGCAUACAGAGGGCAGCAAGCUAGCGAUAGUGAGCGAAUCCCAAAAAGUGCGUCGUAGUCCGGAUUGGAGUCUGCAACUCGACUCCAUGAAGUCGGAAUCGCUAGUAAUCGUGGAUCAGAAUGCCACGGUGAAUACGUUCCCGGGCCUUGUACACACCGCCCGUCACACCAUGGGAGUGGGCUGCAAAAGAAGUAGGUAGUUUAACCUUCGGGAGAACGCUUACCACUUUGUGGUUCAUGACUGGGGUGAAGUCGUAACAAGGUAGCCCUAGGGGAACCUGGGGCUGGAUCACCUCCUUA